rnacentral:rRNA from 1 species
GAUGAACGCUGGCGGCGUGCCUAAUACAUGCAAGUCGAGCGAACAGACGAGGAGCUUGCUCCUCUGACGUUAGCGGCGGACGGGUGAGUAACACGUGGAUAACCUACCUAUAAGACUGGGAUAACUUCGGGAAACCGGAGCUAAUACCGGAUAAUAUAUUGAACCGCAUGGUUCAAUAGUGAAAGACGGUUUUGCUGUCACUUAUAGAUGGAUCCGCGCCGCAUUAGCUAGUUGGUAAGGUAACGGCUUACCAAGGCAACGAUGCGUAGCCGACCUGAGAGGGUGAUCGGCCACACUGGAACUGAGACACGGUCCAGACUACUACGGGAGGCAGCAGUAGGGAAUCUUCCGCAAUGGGCGAAAGCCUGACGUAGCAACGCCGCGUGAGUGAUGAAGGUCUUCGGAUCGUAAAACUCUGUUAUUAGGGAAGAACAAAUGUGUAAGUAACUAUGCACGUCUUGACGGUACCUAAUCAGAAAGCCACGGCUAACUACGUG